CAACCAGUGCUGCUGUUUGCAAAACACGGUAUUUACUUCUGCCAUAGUUACAAACUAAUUAAGAUGCUUUUCUUUAGGAAAUUCAGCAAGAAACUGAUAUCCCUGAAAGAGAACUGGUUAGAGCCCUACAAUCCCUUGCAUGUGGCAAACCAACGCAACGUGUUCUUACAAAAGAGCCUAAAUCAAAAGAAAUAGAAAAUGGUCAUAUAUUUACAGUGAACGACCAGUUCACGUCUAAACUACACAGAGUCAAGAUUCAGACGGUUGCUGCCAAACAAGGAGAAUCUGAUCCAGAAAGGAAAGAAACAAGGCAGAAAGUAGAUGAUGACAGAAAACAUGAGAUAGAAGCUGCUAUAGUUCGGAUAAUGAAAUCUAGGAAGAAGAUGCAACACAAUGUGCUAGUAGCAGAGGUAACUCAGCAGCUGAAGGCCCGAUUCUUACCAAGUCCAGUUGUUAUUAAAAAACGUAUUGAAGGACUUAUUGAGAGAGAAUAUUUGGCACGAACACCUGAGGAUCGCAAAGUAUACACUUACGUAGCAUAAAAUGCGUUCAGAAAAUUUGAUUUAUUCUUGGACUAUACUCUUCGCAUGAACUGGGAAGUUCUUUUAAAUCAUUAAUAUUAAGACGACCAUCUCUUCUAUUAAAUUACAAUACAUGUUCUAGACCGUUCAGAUCAAACCGUUUACUCCUUUUGAGAGUUUUCAACAUCAGUUGAUUGAGCUUCAGGCUUUUCGACGUUACCCCUGUAGAGAUUAUCCUUACAAUUCUUCGGAAAAAUGUGAAUGUGCCGCGUUUGUUUUCAAUACUGUAUGAAAACAGAAAAAUAAAAACAAAUUUAGAAAAUACAGCUCAUUUAAAAAAAAAAAUAAAAUUGUUGAAAUUUCAUUUCCCCA